UCCCCAUGUCGCAACAGUAACACUCGACGCUGUUCAGAGUCUUCAUAAACGCCGUCGUUACACCGCCAAUUAUCAAUAAUUGGUCACCUGAAACGAGUUGGGACUCGAGAUCAUCGAGCGGUUACAGGAGAUCCCGAACGUUCCUUGGAUCGCAGAUAAGGGAGGCUGUCAGCGCGAGAUACGGCCAACAAGAACCGACCAGCCCGUCGGGGGGAAAAAGGGGGUUGAGGGUAAAGAGAGACGGAGAAGCGGGUGUGAGUACUACGAGAGUAGCAUUCGCUGGCUCGGUGGGGAUGAAAGCCAGCCGAGCUGUUACCUUCCGGUUCGGAAUGGGGACCCAGAGAGCUAGGUCAGGGCAAAACAACGUUAAAUCCGCGCUACCAACCCCCAGGCGCAAUUUCCGUUUACCAGCUCGCUCCGUCCGUCCCGCUCUCACCCCCCUUCUACCCGCCCCUCGUCUCUUCGGCACUCUUCCACCGUUCCAGCCCGACGACGACGACUUCUUUGAAGUAUCUAUCCUUGCCUGGCGAACUAACGCGAGUUAAAUGAUAUCGAGAUUCGUCGCUACUGGUUUCGGCUUGCCUACGUAUCGACAUCGAAGUUCAGCGGUGAUUGCAUCGCUAUUCCAUUGAAAACGCG